AUUGAACGCUGGCGGCAUGCCUUACACAUGCAAGUCGAACGGCAUCGCGGGAACGCUUGCUUUCCUGGCGGCGAGUGGCGAACGGGUGAGUAACACAUCGGAACGUACCGGCUAGUGGGGGAUAACCCGUUGAAAGACGGGCUAAUACCGCAUACGCUCUUCGGAGGAAAGCAGGGGACCUUUGGGCCUUGCGCUAGCCGAGCGGCCGAUGUCCGAUUAGCUAGUUGGUGGGGUAAAGGCCUACCAAGGCGACGAUCGGUAGCGGGUCUGAGAGGACGAUCCGCCACACUGGGACUGAGACACGGCCCAGACUCCUACGGGAGGCAGCAGUGGGGAAUCUUGGACAAUGGGGGCAACCCUGAUCCAGCAAUGCCGCGUGGGUGAAGAAGGCCUUCGGGUUGUAAAGCCCUUUCGGCAGGGAAGAAAUCGGCGGGGCGAAUAACCCUGCUGGAUGACGGUACCUGCAGAAGAAGCACCGGCUAACUACGUG
rnacentral:rRNA from 1 species